CGACCAAGCUAUUCUUCUCAUCACCAUCGACCAGUCGCUUAUCUUCUCACCAUCGACGAACCAAUUCGAAGCAUCUUAGACAAUGUCUAAGCGGAAGCAACACAGUCAAAGGAGGGCAGAAGAAUUCUCUUGGUCUCCUGUCCCACCUCUCAAUCUCACAGUAAGUACUAUGAGGAGAAACGUAAUCUGGUAUGCUUAUGCUAUCCCUAAUUAUGUAUACUGCUUAUGAUAUUCAUCACUAGUAUUAAUUGGAAUUUGGGGCUUUUGCCAUGUGUUUUUGUUAACGUAAAAUCCCCUGUGAAAACAACAAUAUGGGAUACCUUUUAGUCCAUUUCAUAUGUUUUGUUGGGGAUUCUCUUAUAACUUAACUUGUAUAAAAUUUAUUGCGGAGAUGUUAAUAGCUAUUGUGAGUUUAUUCUAUGAGAACAAUAGUAUGUCAUUGUGAGCUUGAGUCACAGUGAAGAGAAAUUUGCUAAAAGAUUCGUAAGUGUGGUUUAUCUCAUUUUCAAAUAUUUUAACGAAGAGCAAAUGGCUUGUUUGUUUAUGUCUUAGGAAGACUUGUGUAAGGUUGCAUAUUGUGUAGUUAGUGUUUAUACUCAAUGCUUGGUAGUUGUCAUAUUGCUUGUUGUUUCAGUUCUCUUGUUGCUUCAGUUCAGUUCUUGUUAUGUCAGUUCAGUUCUCUUGCUGUUUCAGUUCAGCUCUUGCUGUUUUUCUCUUGUUGCUUCAGUUCAUCUAUUGCUGGUUCAGUUCAGUUCUCUUGUUGCUUCUGUUCAGUUCUUGCUGAUUUAGUUCAGCUCUUGCUGUUUCAGUUUAAUUCUUGUUAUUUUUAAUGUUUCAGUUCAUCAAAAGGUAAAACAUUGCUUUUCAAACUCAUCAACAUGCAGUCCAUUAUACACGGCCUCUGUUGAUUCUCUNNN
rnacentral:lncRNA from 1 species